GUUGCAGUCAACUAGACCCCUCCCUUAUUUCAUACUUCAAGCUGUUAAUCCACUUCUGUAAAUCUUUUUAGUUUUAACUCAAGUAUAGAAGCUUCUAAUUUUUUCUGGGUUAAAUUUUGUCUCAUUAGAUUCACUCCCUCAAUCUUUGAAUCCAGAUUCUAUCAUUCUGUAUAUUAGCUGCAAAUCAUUAAUUUAAAGCAUGCCACUAGUACUAAAUAGGGUGAUAAAGUCAGCAAACUCGGGAAAGAUCUAUAGGUAUCUCAGCAGAGAGUUCUGACUCCAAGUGAAAAAAAUUUCUUUUCCUUAUUGCAUGUGAAACCAGGAGUAUGCCCUGCCGAGCUAGUUCCCUUCCUCUCAUCUCUCAUGUGGCUUCUCAGAUUGCUUGCUUUCUAGUGCUGCUAAUAGAAGACACUAUAG
rnacentral:lncRNA from 1 species